UGUAGAGCUGGGCCAGCUGUUCCGGCCUCCCCUCUUUUACAUAGAGAAACUGCAGCGUCUCCUCCUGGUAGUUCUGGUGGAACUCCAGAUUCUCCCGCC
rnacentral:tRNA from 1 species